GCCGGUGUGGCGGAAUGGUAGACGCAAGGGACUUAAAAUCCCUCGAGGUCACACUCGUACGAGUUCGAGUCUCGUCACCGGCACCA
rnacentral:tRNA from 1 species